GUUUAUUUGAAUAACAAACCAAAAGAAAAGAAUAGGUCUCCCCCAUGAGACCCUCUCCAGGAUACCGUCUUCUGGGCUCCGGGUCUUGCUGUAUCCUGUGGGGAACAAAAAUGGAACUCCCUCCUUUUACCUCCAGAACCAUCCCCAGCUAUACGUGUGCUACCCUUCUGGCAGCUUUAUGGGACCCGUCCAGCUGGUGAGCAAUCAGCCCUUGAUUACUCACCAACCACAAUCAGCCCCAAUUAGUCCUGGCCGGAGAGCCCGUCGAGACCUGGCAUGUCCAACAGAGGGAGCCAUCGCCUCGAGAUGUAUACUCGGUCUGUCACCAGGCCUCGACCAGUCUCCCCCUGGUGGCUGACCUGGGGAGACUGGAGACUGGGAGACUGGGAGCCGAAGUAUAUACCCCUUCGUCCUUGAUUGGUCAACUGUGGGUGGCGUAAGUUUCUUCUUCUUCUUCAGCCCGAAACUCAUAGGUGGCGGCAACACACCCGGUGUAGUCUACCAUAAAACUUUAAAGAAGAAGAAGCCCGAAACUCAUAGGUGGCGGCAACACAUCAGGUGAAGUCUACCAUAAAACUUUAAAGAAGAAGAAGCCCGAAACUCGGUGUGUAUUCAACAUGGCGAACAACAACUUCAAGCAUCGAUUGACCGAAGAGGUACAGAAGUACCUUAACCACUACAAUUAUAGCCAUGCAUUAUAUAAAGACCAGCAUGUAAAUGCCAAUUAAUGGAGGGUGAUUGCGGAAACGCUGGGGUCCGACCCAAUCACUUGUUUGAAAAAGUGGGGUAUGAUUCGCAACAAGUUUGUCAAGGCAAAGAAAAGAAACAAGGGCCACAGUGGAAAUGCCGGUGGAAAAGCUACUAUAGAAAUGUUGCUGCUGGCUUGUUCGGCACGUGAAGCAUGGGAAGACUGAAAGCAACAUGACGUCUUCACCAAAGGAUGAGGGGACAAACAGCAGUGAAUGGAGACAUAGCCUGGUUUUGUUCUCUGCGCCCCAGCACUGCCUGUUCACCGGCCCCAAACACUACCUCUCCAGACACUCUUAAUUCCCUCUCCACAGGGCCCUGGCACCUACAGCUGACUUCAUGGAUGAACUCUUGCCAAAACUCUUGGAGAAAUUUGAUCACCAGCUGCAAGACAAGAGGAGGACGUGGUCUGAACGACUGGGACUACAGUGAAAUUAAGUUUGGUUGUUGUUCAGACAUCUCAGGAGUCAGACACAUUUGUUUCCAUAGACACUUGUUUACAUGUCUGUUCUCAGCAGACACUUUUGAACUGUGGCUUACUUUCAGAGCCCAGAAGCAAGAAUAAAGGUUUAUUUUUGUGUGCUGAAAAAGCUUUUGGCAUUUCUUCAUCUCAAUACAAGGUGUUUCAAUGCAUUCUAUUUGAACAGCAAGUGCUGACAAUGUACAGAAGAGCUGUGUGCUACAGACCUUACAGGCUUUCUUCUAUUUGUGGUGUACUUCCAUCUAAUCUAAAUUACUGAACAGAGACAUCAGAUUUCAUUUUAUUAACAAGAUUCAAUCUACAUUUUAGUACGAAGUACUUUGGUUCACAGUGCACACACAGAACCGUGUCGACGUCCAUCAAGGGGGAUGUGAGCAGUCGAAACAAUGGACUAUUCGGCAUGAUUGGCUGGCCUUGAGUUGAAUUGUCCUCUCCUAACCAUGUCUUUCUACCAUGGUACAAUUCCAGGGGCUGCAAGGAUGAGGAGCCAUGUGUGGUGCCUGGUUUCCUCCAGACCAAGACUCUUCCUAGAGCUGGCCCCCUGGCCAAACUGAGCAAUCGGGGGACAAUGGCCUUGGUCAGGGAGGUGACCAAGAACCUGAUGGUCACUGACAGAGCUCCUCUGUGGAGAUGGGAGAAACUUCCAGAAAGACAACCAUCUCUGCAGCACUCCACCAAUCAGUCCUUUAUGGUAGAGUGGCCAGACGGAAGCUACACCUCAGUAAAAGGUACAUAACAGCCUGCUUGGAGUUUGCCAAAAGGCACCUAAAGGACUCUCAGAGCAUGAGAAACAAGAUUAUCUGCUCUGAUGAAACCAAGAGCUCUGUAAGGGUGACCAUUGGGUUCUUGGUCACCUCCCUGACCAAGGCCCUUUUCCCCUGACUGCGGCCAGCUCCAGAAAGACUUGGUGGUUCCAAACUUCCAUUUAAGAAUGAUGGAGGCCACGGUGUUCCUGGGGACCUUCAAUGUUGCAGAGAUGUUUUGGUACAUUUCCUCGGAUCUAUGCAGCGACACAAUCCUGUCUCGGAGCUCUACGGACAAUUACUUCGACCUCAUGACUUGGUGUUUGCUCUGACAUGCACUGUCAACUGUGGGACUUUAUAUAGACAGGUGUGUGCCUUUCUGAAUCAUGUCCAAUCGAUUGAAUUUACCACAGGUGGACUCCAAGUUUGAGAACCAUCUCAAGAAUUAUCAAUAGAAACAGUGCACCUGAGCUCAAUGUCUUGUCUCAUAGCAAAGAGUCUGAAUAAUUAUGGGCAUAAGGUAUCAGUUUUUUGUUUUUAAUACCUUUGCAAAAAUGUAUAAACUGUUUUCACUUUCAUUAUGGGGAAUGGUGUGGAGAUGAGGAAAAACCUGUAUUUAAUCCAUUUUAGAAUAAGGCUGUAACGUAACUGGAAAAAGUGAAGGGGUCUGAAUACUUUCUGAAUGCACUGUACAUGUGAACAACAUACACAACUCCUAUAUAAAAUAUUUUUCUCAAAGUUGCUGACAUGCAAGAACAAGAUGUCAUGACAAGUGCAGUAUUAUCAUAAGGAGACAAAUUUGGAUUAGGGAGGAGAUGCAGAGGAGGUUGAAGAGAGAGAGAGGAAGAGGGUGUGCUUGAAUUGUUUAAGAGCUUAGGAAAAUGGGAGAUGGUUUGUUGAAGAAUAGUACAAAAUGUAAACAGAGUUAGCUGUACAAAGGAUCGAAGAUAGGAGGGGAAAUGGAAGUGAGGACGAAGUAUCGGAGGUCAAAUCAAAUUUUAUUUGUCGCAUGCGCUGAAUACAACAGGUGUAGACAGUGAAACGCCUACUUACAAGCCUUAACCAACAAUGCAGUUUAGAAAAAUACCUAAAAAAUAAAUAAAAGUAACAAAUAAUUAAAGAGCAGCAGUAAAAUAACCAUAGCGAAGCUACAUACAGGGGGUUCCAGAACAGAGUCAAUGUAUAGGGGCACCGGUUAGUUGAGGUAAUAUGUACAUGUAUUAUUAUGUUUAGCUUGUCCGGGAACAAGACAUCGGUGUCCGCGACAUGGGUGGUUUUCCCUUUGUAAUCUGUGAUUCUCUGUAGACCCUGCCACAUACGUCUCGUGUCUGAGCUGUUGAAUUGCAACUCCACUUUGUCUCUGUACUGACGUUUUGCCUGUUUCAAUGCUAGAGGCGUCACUACAGACCCUGGUUAGAUUCCAGGCUGUAUCACAACUGGCCGUGAUUGGGAGCUCUAUGGGGCGGUGCACAAUUGACCCAGCGUCGUCCAGGUUAGGGUUUGGCCGGGGUAGGCCGCUAUUGUAAAUAAGAAUUUAAUCUUAACUGACUUGCCUAGUUAAAUGAAGUUUAAAUGAAAUUUAAAAAAUUGAAGGAAUUUUAUUUUAUUUAUUUCACCUUUUUAACCAGGUAGGCAAGUUGAGAACAAGUUCUCAUUUACAAUUGCGACCUGGCCAAGAUAAAGCAAAGCAGUUUGACACAUACAACACAGUGUUACACAUGGAGUAAAACAAACAUGCAGUCAAUAAUAUAGAAGGAAAAUAAGUCUAUAUACAAAGUGAGCAAAUGAGGUGAGAUAAGGGAGGUAAAGGCAAAAAAGGCCAUGGUGGCGAAGUAAUUACAAUAUAGCAAGUAAAACAUUGGAAUGGUAGAUUUGCAGUGGAAGAGAGUGCAAAGUAGAAAUAGAAAUAAUGGGGUGCAAAGGAGCAAAAUAAAUACAGUAGGGGAAGAGGUAGUUGUAUGGGCAAAAUUAUAGAUGGGCUAUGUACAGGUGCAGUAAUCUGUGAGCUGCUCUGACAGCUGGUGCUUAAAGCUAGUGAGGGAGAUGUGUUUCCAGUUUCAGAGAUUUUUGUAGUUCGUUCCAAUCAUUGGCAGCAGAGAACUGGAAGGAGAGGUGGCCGAAGGAGGAAUUGGUUUUGGGGGUGACCAGAGAGAUAUAUCUGCUGGAGCGCGUGCUACAGGUGGGUGCUGCUAUGGUGACCAGCGAGCAGGGUCUUGUAGAUGACCUGGAGCCAGUGGGUUUGGCGACGAGUAUGAAGCGAGGGCCAGCCAACGAGAGCGUACAGGUCGCAGUGGUGGGUAGUAUAUGGAGCUUUGGUGACAAAACGGAUGGCACUGUGAUAGACUGAAUCCAAUUUAUUGAGUAGGGUAUUGGAGGCUAUUUUGUAAAUUACAUCGCCGAAGUCGAGGAUUGGUAGGAUGGUCAGUUUUACGAGGGUAUGUUUGGCAGCAUGAGUGAAAGAUGCUUUGAUGCGAAAUAGGAAGCCAAUUCUAUGUUUAACUUUGGAUUGGAGAUGUUUGAUGUGAGUCUGGAAGGAGAAUAACUACACUGUUUGUAUUCUACCAUAUUCCCAGUCACCUUGCUGUGGUUAAAUGCGGUGGUUUGCGCUUUCAGAUAUGCGCAAAUGCUGACAUCUAUCCACAGUUUUUGGUUUGGGUAAGUUUUAAUAGUCACAGUGGAAACAACAUCCUGAUGAACUCAGUCACAGUGUCUGUGUAUACAUCAAUGUUAUUCUCAAAGGCAACCUGGAACAUAUCCCAGUCCACGUGAUCAAAACAAUCUUGAAACAUGGAUUCCGAUUGGUCAGACCAGCAUUGAAUAGAUCUUAGCACAGGUACUUCCUGUUUGAGUUUCUGCCUAUAGGAAGGGAGGAGCAGGAUGGAGUCGUGAUCUGAUUUGCCGAAGGGAGGGAGGGGGAGGGCCUUGUUGUCAUCCCAGAAGGGGGAGUAACAAUGGUCGAGAGUUUUUGAAGAAUGAGUACCACAGGCAAUGUGUUGUUAGAACUUUGGUAGCAUUUUCCUCAAAUUUGCUUUGUUAUAAUCCCCAGCAACAAUAAAUGCACCCUCAGGAUGUGUGGUUUCCAGUUUGCACAAAGUCCAGUGUAGUUACUUGAAAAGCUGUCGUGGCUUUGGCUUGAAGGGGAAUAUACACGGCUGUGACUAUAACCGAAGAGAAUUCUCUUGGGAGGUAAUACGGUCGGCAUUUGAUUGUGAGGUAUUCUAGGUCGGUUGAACAAAAGACCUUGUUCCUGUACGUUAUCACAAUCACACCAUGAGUAGUUAAUCAUGAAACAUACACCAUGCCUUUCUUCUUCCCGGAUAGUUUUUUAUUCCUGUCUGCGCAAUAUACUGAGAACCCAGCUGGCUGUAUGGACGGGGACAGUAUAUGCGGAGAGCCAUGAUUCCGUGAAACAGUAUGGUUAUCAACUGUACUGCAGGGAUAGAACGUAGGUCACAGAAAAUUGAGGUUGUGGCAGCUGCAGAGAAGUAUUUGGGUGUACGAGAUUUGACGUCAGAAGAGUUACAGGGUGUCCUGUCAUUUCAGGCUGUUGGCCUGAGGUACGACUAGAUAGAUUUAGUGGAGUAGGGUUGUGGGUUUUUAAUGAGUGUAGGGUUAGAUGGUCGUUUUUUGUUGUUGUCCCAAGGAAAAUAUAAGGGAGUUAUAAUCCAGUCUAGUUGGUGGCAGUAAUGCAACAUUUAUUGGAUACCAACCUCCCUUAAACUUCAUCGAAGAAGACAGAUUGACCGGAGCCUAACACUUCAGGUGCUCCACCUCUUGCUCUCAGACUACACCAAAGACAGUUGCAGCAAAUAUGGUGUGGUUGUGGUAACGUUAGCAGGGCCCAUCCUCUUUGGCAGUAGGGUUUAAACCUGGCUUUGUAUAUUUUUCUACAGAUCAAUGAUUGUUCGAAAUAACGAAUAUUAUGUGUUUGUGAGCUAGAAAAGUUAUCUAGGUCAAUGAGUAUAAGAGUGUUUUGAUAAUAUUUGGUUUGGUCGAGAAAGCCACAAAGGGGGUUGUUUUUUUGAGAGCGCUAUAAAGUACUUUGCUGGCCUCUGCUCACACGUUUGGACAUUAUUUUGACAGGGACGUUUAAUACACCUAGCUGUAGUUUCAUUUGUGAACAGUUUUUAACUGGUCCCGUUAAAAAAGCAUGCUCUUCCUGUUUGAA
rnacentral:lncRNA from 8 species